rnacentral:lncRNA from 1 species
UUUUAUCAAGCCUAAGGGCACUGGCUGGCCAGUGUUUACAACCACAAAAGGAUCAAUGCCUCUACCCUGGUUCGUACAGAAGUGACGAAUGGAGGAGGAAGACGGUCGCGGGAAUGGGUUGGUUGGGCUUAAAGGUCUACUAGGCCUCCACUCUCUCUCAAAUAAAAAACAAGAUGACUUUUAAAUAAUCCAAACCAUUUUUGAAUUAAAAGCCAGGGUAGGAAAAUAUAAA